rnacentral:rRNA from 1 species
UACAGAGGGGGCAAGCGUUGUCCGGACUGACUGGGCGUAAAGCGCACGCAGGCGGUUGUGGGCGUCGGUGCUGAAAGUCCACUGCUUAACAGUGGAACGCGUGCCGAUACGCCAUAACUGGAGCAAUGCGGAGGCCAGUGGAAUUGCCGGUGUAGUGGUGAAAUGCGUAGAUAUCGGGAGGAACACCUGUGGCGAAGGCGACCCCCUGGUUGGAUACUGACGCUGAGACGACGAAAGCGUGGGGAGCAAACAGG